AACGCGAAGAACCUUACCUGGCCUUGACAUCUGUCGAAUCUUGCAGAGAUGCAGGAGUGCCUUCGGGAACGACAAGACAGGUGCUGCAUGGCUGUCGUCAGCUCGUGUCGUGAGAUGUUGGGUUAAGUCCCGCAACGAGCGCAACCCUUGUCCUUAGUUGCCAUCAUUUAGUUGGGAACUCUAAGGAGACCGCCGGUGACAAACCGGAGGAAGGUGGGGAUGACGUCAAGUCAUCAUGGCCUUUAUGGCCAGGGCUACACACGUGCUACAAUGGCAGGUACAGAGGGAAGCCAACUCGCGAGAGGGAGCUAAUCCCAGAAAGCCUGUCGUAGUCCGGAUCGGAGUCUGCAACUCGACUCCGUGAAGUCGGAAUCGCUAGUAAUCGCAGAUCAGCAUUGCUGCGGUGAAUACGUUCCCGGGCCUUGUA
rnacentral:rRNA from 1 species